CCGGCCGUAAUAAACGUACAUUGAAACCUAGUGAGGGGCAGCCAGUACACGGAAUAUAGCGAGUGGCCGCAUUUCAGGAUCUACGUACAACACUCCAAUAGAGCUGGGUCAGGAUCCCAGAGACCAGAGUUGUUACAAGUGACAGUCACUGCACCCACCGGUGAGAACCCAGGAUCACAUUGGAAGGUAAAGACUGAACCUUCAGUCAAGUUAGUGUUCUGAGACGUGGUGUUGAGUAAAGCUCCAUUGAGUGGAUGGGCAGGCAGGACACACGAAACUGGGUAUACACAAAAUGGAGGAUGUUCAUGAAUAAUGAAGUCACUUACUGGAAUCAUUUCUGCAGACGAUCUCCCCCGGGAUCCUGUCCCACUCUCCCGUAGCUAGACAGGUGGCAGUCAUUAUCCCCCCAGGGAACAGUCCAGCGUCACACUGGAAGGUCACAUAAGUACCAGGAAUAGCUGGUACUGAAUGAUCACUGAUGGUGCCAUUCCGUGGUGAGGAUAGUGGAACUGUGCAGUUCAUUGGAGCUAUGAGGUGAAAACAUAAUAAGUUUUGUAAAAACCAAGAACUCAACUCACGAGUUGUGGGAGGGAGUGUGGGUAGUAAUGUACACUCAAUAGCCUCAGAGUCUGGACUCCACAUCAGUGCAUCAUCACAUGUCACCAUAGCAAUAGCAGAUAUAUAUCCAGCGUCACACUGGAUGGUUACUGUGGAUCCUGAUAAUCUGCUGAAGACUGGUCCAAAGGCUCCAUUCAUGGGGUUAGUCAACACAGGACAGCCACCUGCAUGAGAGGGAAGUUGUGCACAGCAUAAUUUCAAGCCAUUACGUACUCACCGAUCCUAAAGCUGUACUCAGCAGUUGUACUGGAUGAUGUGUGGACUCACACUAUUACAAAUCAGGAGAGCCGUGGAGAAGGUUGCCUGCCCAAGUCGCUGGGUGAGGGAGUGUUUAAGAGACACCUCGAGCUGCAUCUUCUAUGGACUGACUGAGCAGUGACAAUGCCUGGUGCAGUUUGCUGGAGUGGACUGUCUCACUUCACUCUUCUGUCAGCUGCUGGGGAGAAUGAUCCUCAGAGGGAGAAUAAAACAACAUAAUCCAAUGAAUCUUGACAAGUCUGAAAGAACAGUAUACAAUGUACAAUUAUAUAGCUUGUUGUUUUUCUUACAUUUGAAGCAAUAUAAUUAUGUGUACGUUUACUCUUUGUUCAUCAGUUUAAAUAAUUAUGUGAACAGAUGCAGCUAUUGUUUGCAUUGUUCUCAAUUAUACAUAUCCGAUGCUGAAUAUAAACAAUGCCAUUAUUAUUUUAUGAAAGUUGCAAAUAACAAUUUAUAAUUAUACUGAAAGCUAGGGUAUAAUAAAUUAUUAUUACCGCACAUCGAGGCAUAAUUAAUAACUGCAUGCUGAGCUUGAUUGAU